rnacentral:rRNA from 1 species
GAAGGCGGGACCGGUAACUGGGGUGAAGUCGUAACAAGGUAGCCGUAUCGGAAGGUGCGGCUGGAUCACCUCCUUUCUAAGGAA